UUGGGUUUAAGUGCGCGUAGGUGGAUAAGUAAGUCGGAUGUGAAAGCCCUGGGCUCAACCUGGGAAUUGCAUUCGAUACUGCUUGACUAGAGUAUGGUAGAGGGAAGUGGAAUUUCCGGUGUAGCGGUGAAAUGCGUAGAUAUCGGAAGGAACACCAGUGGCGAAGGCGACUUCCUGGGCCAAUACUGACGCUGAGGUGCGAAAGCGUGGGGAGCAAACAGGAUUAGAUA
rnacentral:rRNA from 1 species